UUAUUAAUAUUAUUUAAAUUACAUAGUUAUGUUUCAGUGAUAUAUUGGGGGGGACAAAUCAUAUUUUUCCCAGGAUGGGGGGGUCGUGUCCCCCGUCCCCCCCGGGAUUUCCGCCCCUGAUUGCUACAUAACCUACAAGGAUAGACCAUGACAUUUGACAUUUGAAUAAAUGUUUUAUGACAGUUUUUAUCAUAAAGAAGACGCACAUAUAGCAUAUUAUUGUUGGUCAAUCAAAGCGGCGCUGGUCAGACGCUCCAUAUGUAGCAAGUGAAGUGGGAGGUUUCUAAUCAAUGCAAAAUUGAAUUAAAAUGAAGUUGGCUAAAUGAGGAGUAGACUACAAUGAUCAACCAACAGGUUGUCUUUUGUUUCAUAUGAAUGGAGUUGUUAUAGACAAGGAUGCCUCAACCUAAGUUAGCCUUGCUACUUUAGCUAGCAAACUUAGCUUGCUAUUGUAGCUAACUAGCUUCUUUACAACGAUUUGAUGCAGUCAAGACAGGCACUACCAGAUGGUAGAGUAUGAUAGACAAACUUGUUGCUGCAAUAGGUUAUCUAUUGUAACUAGCCUGAGUCGGUUUGGUUACUUUCUCUCCCGCUGUGCCACACACAAGACUGUCACACAAGACUGUCACACACAGACCCCUGCUCUUCUCUCUCUCUCCCCUCUCCCACCCUUCCAAGCAGAGCUGCGCUGUGCGCGCAAAUCUCCAUUGAAGCAAUAACGGAUAUCCGAAAAAAUAUCACAUUAUUUGAAUAGUGAAAUAAUUUGAAUUGCCCAUCCCUAGUAGGGUUAAGCUGCAAUAUGUAACUUUUGUAUUUUUUUCUAUGUUCAAAAGCUUUUAUUAAGUAAAUCGCGAGUGGUCAUCCAAUGUGUGAUGCAACAGUAACAAUAUGGAGUCUAGCCUAAGAACCUUUGUAUUCACUUUCACUGUUUGGUCAGAAUUUCCUGUCAGACUUAGUGUCGCGCCUAAUGAUUGACGAGACUUCCGCCAUGAGCUGAAUGCCUGACUAAAUUAUGACCAGGAAGAGAAAUAUUCGCUGAAUCGUUUCAUUAUAGGAAUGGUAGAUUGAUGCCUGCAGCUUCUCCAUCAAAUUGAAGUAAACAAAGAAACAGAGUCCUUUGCAGAGCCAACAGGCGAAAAUAGAAAACGACAGAGCCUGGGCCAAGACGAGUGUGAACCUCGGAUUUGCGUUUACAAUCUGAAGAGUGCGAGCUAGCUAACGUUAGCUAGGGGAUUCAAAACCGACCAAUACUUGCCCUAAUUUCUGCUGAAAAGUGCUGCUACAACUUCGAGGAUGCAGUUGGCACAUCCCUGAGUGGAGAAGGAUCAGAUCGGUCUUCGUCUGAGCUCGACUACAGCAGCACUGGACUACAUCAAUAAUCACCGUCCAGUCAUGGAGAACGCUUACGGGAAGUGUGAACCUACAGAGUACUCAGAAAUGUUGAUGAAAGGGGCCUUCAACCAAACACAUGAAUCAUAUGUAAAUAAGGGACGUUUGUGUGGGCAACAAUAAACUUGUGUGUGAAACCAUAAUUGUUCAUUCUUUACCUAGCAUAUUGAACUUUUGGAAUGGUUUUAGAUUUAUUUGACUAAACUGUACACGUUUCCUGAAUAUUCAAUUCAAGGGGCUUUAUUGGCAUGGGAAACAUGUUAACAUUGCCAAAGCAAGUGAAGUAGAUAAUA